AGGCAAGACAAGACAAUUUAUUGCUCCGUAAUAAUCACACAUUACAUUUUUUGUUUUACAUUAUUCCUUUUUUACUAUUAAUGUUACUUAUUUAUUUAAUUAAAAUAAAGGAGCUGACACCCCAAAAUAACCAUAAGGCUAAAAAACUGGGGGCCAAGUAGCACAAUUAAUCAAUAAUUGUAAGAUUGAUCUUACAAUAAUUACGAUUUUUUAAAGCAUAAAGAAAAAUGAGAAAUGUAAAGAAAAGACAAUCAUUCUUAGGAAUAAAGAAAAAAAUAAUACUGAUUAAUAAAAGCAGCUUUAAUUUUUCUCUUAAGUUGUAAAAAUGUCAUCUGUUUAUCAGCUUCACUCAGCACAUUCCAUGCUUUCACUCCCUGAUAUCUAAUAUUAAAUAAUCCAAAAUUUGUUCUUAUUUUCGGCAAAGAAAAACAAAGAUUUGAUGAAAGUCUAGUAUUAUAUGAAUGUAUUUGAUAGACAGGAGUAAAGAGAUCAUUUAAACUCGAGGGCAAAAGUUGUCGAUGAUAUUUGUACAUAAACAUGGUCAUACGUAAUGUAAUGAGAUGGGUGAACUUUAAGAUUUGGAGGCGCUUAAAAAGAGGACUUGAGUGUUCAUCAAAGCGAGAAAAGGUGAUAACACGCAUGGCUUUCUUUUGAAGUAUAAUAAGUGGUUUAAGUGUGGUUGAAUAUGUGUUACCCCAAAUUAUCAAUGCAUAGAUAAAAAAUGGGUAUAUUAUUGCAUAAUACAGAUUAACUAAAAUCUUAAUAUUUAGAAAAUGUCUAAGUUUAGAAAGAAUGCCAAUUCCUCUUUUGAUCUUUUUUGCAAUAUGAUCCACCUGAUAUUUCCAGGAUAGGUGGGAAUCAAUAAAAACUCCUAGAUAUUUUAUAUAAUCAACUUUUUUGAGAUAUCUGCCAUUAAUACUAAGACUUACAUCUAUUUCAAUUUUCUUUUGAUGAGGAUGAAAAAUAACAAAAUUUGAUUUUUCGAUGUUAAGGGACAACUUGUUAGCACACAGCCAGACAUUGAUAUUGACCAACUCUUGAUUAAUAUUCGAUUCCAG